GACGUAGGGCGCGAGCGUUGUCCGGAUUUAUUGGGCGUAAAGAGCUCGUAGGCGGCUUGUCGCGUCGACUGUGAAAUCCCGCGGCUCAACUGCGGGUCUGCGGUGGAUACGGGCAGGCUAGAGGCUGGUAGGGGCAAGCGGAAUUCCUGGUGUAGCGGUGAAAUGCGCAGAUAUCAGGAGGAACAUCUGCGGCGAAGGCGGCUUCCUGGCCCAUUACUGACGUUCAGGUACGAAAGCGUGGGUAGCAAACAGG
rnacentral:rRNA from 1 species